GGCAGCAGGAAGUGGGUGCAUAUCUCCAAUGGCCAUUGGGCUAGAGGUGGAAAACACCCUGGACCAGGAAACGGUCCACCACUGGGCAACACAGAGACACAUAUGAGUAACAGGUGGAGACUGGAGUAUUGGAGAGUGUGGAGAGGGAGAACAUGCAAACUCCACACAGAGAUUCAUAACAGCUGCACUACUGUAGAGCCACGGUGAUACAUGCAUUUUGAUUUUAUUUUUUUUACAUGACAAAAUCUUAAAUGUGUGGCAUGCAUUUGUAUUUCUGCAGAAUGUCAUUCGUAUCUCCAACAUCAGCUGCAACGGUAAAAAGACAAACAAAAACAUGCUUCCACCGAUGCUAGUAGAGAGUUGUUCUCUAGACAGAUAAUUCAUGCCCCACCCUGCAACUCAAUGGACCUGUCUGGCUUUGGCAGUGGCCAAACUCAGAAUAAUUUAUGAUGUGGAGCGCUUUUGGGAUGAAUUGGAGCACAAACUACAAGCCAAAGCCUUUUUGUCCAACAUCAGUGCCUGACCUCGCAAACGCGCUUCUAAAAGAAUGGUCAAAAGUUCCCAUAAAGACUCUCCUAAGCCUUCAAGAGUUGAAACUGUUACAGCUGCAAAGAGUGGGUCCACAUCAUAUCAAACCUUGGGGAUUAAGAACAAGAUGUGACCUAAGGUCAUAUGUGUGUGAUGGCAGACAAAUAAAUCGUCUAGCUUUGA